CUGGCGGCGUGCUUAACGACAUGCAAGUCGAACGGGCUGAAGUGAUAGCUUGCUAUUAUGGACGCUAGUGGCAAACGGGUGAGUAACGCGUAGGCAACCUGCCCUUCAGAUGGGGACAACACUUCGAAAGAGGUGCUAAUACCGAAUACGUUCUUUUUGUCGCAUGGCAGAGAGAAGAAAGGGAGGCUCUUCGGAGCUUUCGCUGAAGGAGGGGCUUGCGUCUGAUUAGCUAGUUGGAGGGGUAACGGCCCACCAAGGCGACGAUCAGUAGCCGGUCUGAGAGGAUGAACGGCCACAUUGGGACUGAGACACGGCCCAGACUCCUACGGGAGGCAGCAGUGGGGAAUCUUCCGCAAUGGACGAAAGUCUGACGGAGCAACGCCGCGUGAACGAUGACGGCCUUCGGGUUGUAAAGUUCUGUUAUACGGGACGAAUGGCGUAGCGGUCAAUACCCGUUACGAGUGACGGUACCGUAAGAGAAAGCCACGGCUAACUACGUG
rnacentral:rRNA from 1 species